rnacentral:rRNA from 1 species
UACGAAGGGGGGCUAGCGUUGCUCGGAAUGACUGGGCGUAAAGGGCGCGUAGGCGGAUGGCACAGUCAGAUGUGAAAUUCCCGGGCUUAACCUGGGGGCUGCAUUUGAUACGUGUUGUCUUGAGUUCGGAAGAGGGUCGUGGAAUUCCCAGUGUAGAGGUGAAAUUCGUAGAUAUUGGGAAGAACACCGGUGGCGAAGGCGGCGACCUGGUCCGACACUGACGCUGAGGCGCGAAAGCGUGGGAGCAAACAGG